rnacentral:rRNA from 1 species
UACGUAGGUGGCAAGCGUUGUCCGGAUUUAUUGGGUUUAAAGGGUGCGUAGGCGGCUUGAUAAGUCAGUGGUGAAAGCCGAUCGCUUAACGAUCGAACUGCCAUUGAUACUACCAGGCUUGAGUAUAGAUGAGGUAGGCGGAAUUGACAGUGUAGCGGUGAAAUGCAUAGAUAUUGUCAAGAACACCAAUUGCGAAGGCAGCUUACUAAGUUAUAACUGACGCUGAGGCACGAAAGUGCGGGGAUCAAAC